UUGGACUUCUUUUUGGUGAUGCGACCUCUACAAAGUUGUUGGAGAAGUGGUCUACCAACCUAAAACCAAAAGUUAUUGCACAGAGCCGUGGCCUCACACAGACUUGCGAGCUCCAAGAACUCAUCCAAAAUGCUGAAGCCACUGAAGUUGAAGAAGGUUGGGAUAGCAACAUGUCUUCCAUUCUGAUCCUGGUUCACCUUUUGCCACCCUCAAGUCAAGGCCGCAAGAGACCGGGAAAGAUCUCAGCUAGACAUGCAUGUGAUCAUCUUGUGAAGUUCAUCAAGACUGGUACCAGUAUCCAAGGGCACUUGGAUAGCAUUGGAGAGAGCCUACAGCCGUAUCUACUUGCUGUUGGGCCAAAGAAAAGUAGGGUGCAUUCUUGGUUCAUUGUAAUUGACCAACAUGCUCUACCCUGUAAGGCUGCUAAUUCAUUGGCGUGUGUUGAUGAGCUUUUUAAAGCUCACUUUGUUUUUGGCACUUCAUACUGUCAGGAAUUGAUCAAUGUGUAUAGCUUUUUGCAAACUACUGUCUAUGAUAUAGAUGUUGAAACCACCAAAGUGAAUCCCAGGGUGGCUGAGUUGAGAGCUAGAGUCCUCCAGUGAGCAGAUGAUUUGUUUUAUUUGUAAAAAGGAGCAUACUAAUGCCAAUGCCCUUAUAAGGCACUUUAAGUUAGUUCAUGGCCUUUGUCCAGGGAAAAGACUCAAGUUAAAAUGUGCUCAAAGAGGUUGUUCACAUGUUUACCAUAGUUUUUCUGGAUUACGAAAGCAUCUCAGCAAGUGUGCAAGUGACCAUUCACACCUUGAUUUUAAUAAAAACUCAUCCAACGCCAACUCCAUUUCAUUAGUUGAUGUAGC